UGGAUCCAGACUUUGAUCAUGGCUCAGGACGAACGCUGGCGGCGCGCCUAACACAUGCAAGUCGAACGAGAGAUGAGGAGCUUGCUCUUCAAAUCGAGUGGCGAACGGGUGAGUAACGCGUGAGGAACCUGCCUCAAAGAGGGGGACAACAGUUGGAAACGACUGCUAAUACCGCAUAAGCCCACGGCUCGGCAUCGAGCAGAGGGAAAAGGAGUGAUCCGCUUUGAGAUGGCCUCGCGUCCGAUUAGCUAGUUGGUGAGGUAACGGCCCACCAAGGCAACGAUCGGUAGCCGGACUGAGAGGUUGAACGGCCACAUUGGGACUGAGACACGGCCCAGACUCCUACGGGAGGCAGCAGUGGGGAAUAUUGCACAAUGGGGGAAACCCUGAUGCAGCGACGCCGCGUGGAGGAAGAAGGUCUUCGGAUUGUAAACUCCUGUUGUUGAGGAAGAUAAUGACGGUACUCAACAAGGAAGUGACGGCUAACUACGUGCCAGCAGCCGCGGUAAAACGUAGGUCACAAGCGUUGUCCGGAAUUACUGGGUGUAAAGGGAGCGCAGGCGGGAGAACAAGUUGGAAGUGAAAUCCAUGGGCUCAACCCAUGAACUGCUUUCAAAACUGUUUUUCUUGAGUAGUGCAGAGGUAGGCGGAAUUCCCGGUGUAGCGGUGGAAUGCGUAGAUAUCGGGAGGAACACCAGUGGCGAAGGCGGCCUACUGGGCACCAACUGACGCUGAGGCUCGAAAGUGUGGGUAGCAAACAGGAUUAGAUACCCUGGUAGUCCACACCGUAAACGAUGAUUACUAGGUGUUGGAGGAUUGACCCCUUCAGUGCCGCAGUUAACACAAUAAGUAAUCCACCUGGGGAGUACGACCGCAAGGUUGCAA
rnacentral:rRNA from 1 species